UGGGGAAUAUUGGACAAUGGGCGCAAGCCUGAUCCAGCCAUGCCGCGUGAGUGAUGAAGGCCCUAGGGUUGUAAAGCUCUUUCACCGGUGAAGAUAAUGACGGUAACCGGAGAAGAAGCUCCGGCUAACUUCGUGCCAGCAGCCGCGGUAAUACGAAGGGGGCUAGCGUUGUUCGGAUUUACUGGGCGUAAAGCGCACGUAGGCGGACUUUUAAGUCAGGGGUGAAAUCCCGGGGCUCAACCCCGGAACUGCCUUUGAUACUGGAAGUCUGGAGUAUGGUAGAGGUGAGUGGAAUUCCGGGUGUAGAGGUGAAAUUCGUAGAUAUUCGGAGGAACACCAGUGGCGAAGGCGGCUCACUGGACCAUUACUGACGCUGAGGUGCGAAGGCGUGGGGAGCAAACAGG
rnacentral:rRNA from 1 species